rnacentral:rRNA from 1 species
GAGACCUGCAAACAUACCAGAUAAUACGAACUACAGUUUAAAAUCCAAAGAAAUUGGCGGUAUCUUAUGUAAUCAGGGGAACCUGUCUCUUAAUUCGAUAUUCCACGAAAACCAAUCCUAGAUUUGAAUGUCAGCCUGUGUACUGCUGUCGCCAGUAAACCUCUGAAAGAAAGUUUACAACUAAUAUCUUAAUAUAGACGUCAAGUCAAAGUGCAGCCUAUAUCUAGGAGUAUGAUGGGUUACAAUCUUCAAAAAGAAAUGAAUAAAACUUUUAAUUAAAGCUUUUGAAAGUGGACUUGAAAGUAAUGACACAAUAAAUGUCAUUAAUCUUCAUCUAAGAUAUGCACACAUCGCCCGUCGCUCUCUUCAUAAGAUG